CCAAGUUCCUGGGGGAGCUCUUGCAAGAGAGUUGAGAGGCCGUUUGAGCGGCGACCCUUUGAACCUGAUCAGGGUAAAGCCUGCGAAGGGAAAGGACGCAUGAUGCAAG
rnacentral:ncRNA from 1 species